CUGAGGUUGUUCCUGCAUCCCAUGACUGCUAUUAUUGAGAUGUUUAUUCUCCUGAAGGUGAUUGCAAUGAUUGUUGUUAAAGUACAAAAACAAGCUCUGUCCAGGCUCUUUUCCCAGAUUUGGGAUCUUCACCAAAGCUAUGAUGGUGUUUUAGAUCUGGAUCCUUGCCUCGUUCACAUGGCUGUCUGAUUCACAAAAACCAUCUCUGGGGAGUGUUUAACAAAGGCUUUACAGGAAAGGUCAGGCAUCAUCCACGUGACAGCAGGGGUCUGUGGUUAUCCAGUCACUCAAAAGCCCUGAAUUGCCAAAAUCUUUGCAGACUUUGCAAGAUCUUCAGUGAGGAGCUUCCCUUUUAGAAACCCAGAGAACCUCCUGCCCACCACAGUGCCCAGGUGGCCACCAAGGCGAUGUCCUCACUCCUGGCUGUUUUGGCACCACCCAGGUUACACCUUGCAAUCCCAAAGAGGUGAGCAGCCUCCUCAGGGAUCACAGAAGCACAGAAUGGAUUGGGUUGGAAAGGACCUUUAAAGGCCAACUGGUCAAAUCCCCCUGUGGUGAGCAGGGGAAUCCUCAUCAAGGUCAGGCUGCCCAGAGCAUCAGGAUUGACUCGAUGCCAACACCUCCAAAAGCUGUUUGCACAGGGGUCUGUAAACCUCCAGCACUGUUAGUUCUCUUGGCUUUGUGGGCCAGGAGGAGCUUGUGGGAUCUCGUGGUUAUUCCAGCAAGGAGGGGAACAUGAUGACACCGAGGAGGAAUGCAGCUCCCAGCCAAGGUGGUGGGCACGCUCCCGGCUGCUCUGCUCCAGCACCCGCGGUCACCCCGGGCUGCCAGUGCCUCCCCCUGUCCCAAACUCCCCGUUAUCCCUGUAUUCCUCAUUUUGCCUGGCUCCACAGCCUCACUGACAGUGUGCUCCCUGUUUGUUUGGGGUGCUGCUGCAGGAAUCUGGGGACAAGGCUGGUGUAGCUGCUGCCUUCAUGGAGGAGGAGAGCAGCUAUUUCUUGUUCUUCCCUUUCCUGGUGUGCAGCAGGCUCACAGCCACCCCCAGAAGCAGCUGCCUUGAUGAAUAUUUGCCCAAAUCAUUAUGCUUUCUAGCAGUUAGCCUGCAAAAGGCCCAGCACCAUUUGUAUGGUAAUGGAAGGCUUUCUCAGAAAUGUUUUGGAAGCAAUCAGCUAAACUAAUAGGAUUUUAUGUAAACCAAUCUCUUCCUUUAGAUCAGGGUGGUUCUUUUUUUUUUUUUUUCUGGAGAGGAGGGUAAGAGCUUUUUAAUAAAUGCAAAUUGAUAUUUCAAUGAAAAUGGAAAUGAGAGAAAAAGUUCAUCACCAGGGUAAAAUGCUGUGACUUUGCUCCACCAGCAGCUUCGUGCCUGAAUCUCUGCACAUUCCCCAGCCACAAUGAGUUUCUGAGGUGCUGAGGCAUGGGGCAAUAAGGAGAAGAGCUUUCCUCCACCUUCACACUCGAGUGAGACAUUAACCAGGCUGGAUUUUUCAUCACCCCAUCAAAGCUGUGGUUUCUCCAGUCCUGGACCUCUGCAGAGGGUCAUGGCAGUGGUGGUCACAGGGAGGAGGCUGUGGCUGGAGGGGGUCAGGCAGUUGUUAUUGCUCACUCCUGCUGUGGAUCAGCAGCUCUGGUACUCUGUAACUUGAGCUUUCUGCACCCCUCCAGCAGGAUUUGAGAAAAGUAAGGGAUGAGAAGCACUCAGAAUUCUGAUUUAUGCUGUGUACUCAAAGCUCUGCUUUCAAGGUAAGUGCUUUGCACUGGGAAUUGUUCACUGCAGUCACCCACGACCAAGAGCUUUUGCUGCAAGCCCCAAAUGCUUUCUCACUUGGGACAUAGCCAAGGUAACUUUCUUGGCCCUGCUCCUGCUUGUCUCUCUGUUAAAAGGGCCUGAUACAUGACAGCAAAUUGUUCUUGAAGCAUGAGCUGGCUUGGAUCACUGCAGUCAGUCAUUUAUAAACAAUCUUGUUUAUAUGUACAUACAUAUAUAUAUACAUAAAAUUAAAUUAAACUCUGAUCUGUAGAUGUGAUAGCACUGCUGGAAGUGCUGUUCAUGGAGACUCAGGCCAGUGAGGGUCAGGCAUGCAGCAGGGUUUCAGGUGAAACCUCUCACCCUGUGAGGCUGAACAUGAAUUUGGAGCAGUAGGGGUUUGGGCUUGUCCAUCCUGUGUAGCAAAGGACAGGAAAUGUACAUGAGGAGAGAGGCAGGAUGUGCCCCCAAGGCCUUGGAAAGCAAACUUCAGCAGCACAUGGGCAGAAUGGGCAUGCUGAGCAUGGAAACCUGGUUUUUAGAAAUACCUUCCUCCCUCCAGCAACUUUCUUAUUCAUACCAAGACAGCUGUUGAUGGUGCAGUCAUGUAAUGGGAUUGCUGAAAAGAUUUGGGGUUCUCUCAGGACAGAAAGACCUUUCUCAGUCUUUGGUCAUGCGCAAGAAGACGAGGCCUGAUCAGAGCCUCAUGAUGGGAAGACAAAAUCUGACCUACAAAUACACCUGGGACUUCUGUGUCAGAAGAGGAAGAUGGGAGAGAUCAUGAUAAAAGCACCGGGUUUCAAGAAGACAAUUAUCAACAAACUCAAAUGUGAUACAUAAGAACUCUUAAGAGGAUGUGUCUGUGGUGAAUCCAAGUGGAUCCUGUUAUCUCUGAGUCCAUGAGGAUGAUGAAGGUGUGUUGCUUUGGCUUUACUGCUUGGU